UCCGUGUUGUCCACGGCAGUCUCACUAGAGUGCCCAGCUUUACCUGAUGGCAACUAAUGACAAGGGUUGCGCUCGUUGCGGGACUUAACCCAACAUCUCACGACACGAGCUGACGACAACCAUGCACCACCUGUCUCCAUUGUCUCCGAAGAGAGGAGCACGAUUAAGUGCUUUACAACGGGAUGUCAAGACCUGGUAAGGUUCUUCGCGUUGCUUCGAAUUAAACCACAUGCUCCGCUGCUUGUGCGGGUCCCCGUCAAUUCCUUUGAGUUUCACACUUGCGUGCGUACUCCCCAGGCGGAAUACUUAUUGCGUUAGCUGCGGCACCAACCCCUGCGGGCUGACACCUAGUAUUCAUCGUUUACGGCGUGGACUAC
rnacentral:misc_RNA from 1 species